UGGGGAAUAUUGCACAAUGGGCGAAAGCCUGAUGCAGCAACGCCGCGUGAGUGAUGAAGGCCUUCGGGUUGUAAAGCUCUGUCUUCUGGGACGAUAAUGACGGUACCAGAGGAGGAAGCCACGGCUAACUACGUGCCAGCAGCCGCGGUAAUACGUAGGUGGCAAGCGUUGUCCGGAUUUACUGGGCGUAAAGGAUGCGUAGGCGGAUACUUAAGUCAGAUGUGAAAAUCCCGAGCUUAACUUGGGAACUGCAUUUGAAACUGGGUAUCUAGAGUGCGGGAGAGGAAAGUGGAAUUCCUAGUGUAGCGGUGAAAUGCGUAGAGAUUAGGAAGAACACCAGUGGCGAAGGCGACUUUCUGGACCGUAACUGACGCUGAGGCAUGAAAGCGUGGGGAGCAAACA
rnacentral:rRNA from 1 species